UUCGCAAUGCCCGAAAGGGUGACGAAGCGACGCCGCGUGGGUGAGGAAGGCCUUCGGGUUGUAAAGCCCUGUCAGGAGUUAAGAAAUGUAGACUCGCUAAUAUCGGGUCUAUUUGACAAAGGCUCCAAAGGAAGCCACGGCUAACUCUGUGCCAGCAGCCGCGGUAAUACAGAGGUGGCAAGCGUUGUUCGGAAUUAUUGGGCGUAAAGAGCACGUAGGUGGAUUUGUAAGUCAGACGUGAAAGCCUUCUGUUCAACGGAAGAAUUGCAUCUGAAACUACAAGUCUUGAGUGUAGGAGGGGAGAAUGGAACUUCUGGUGGAGCGGUGAAAUGCGUAGAUAUCAGAAGGAACGCCGGCGGCGAAAGCGAUUCUCUGGCCUAUUACUGACACUCAGUGUGCGAAAGCUAGGGGAGCAAACGGGAUUAGAUACCCCGGUAGUCCUAGCUGUAAACGAUGGGCACUAAGUAGAGGGGUUUU
rnacentral:rRNA from 1 species